rnacentral:lncRNA from 1 species
CUGUGUUACCCCUGUUGGGAUGUUCUAAAGGGCGCUACAGAAAUCAUUCUUUGGGAGCUAUAUGAUUUCAAAAUAACCAACCAGAAGUCCUAUUGGAGGUGGCAAGGGAUUGAAGAGAAGACCAGGGAGGGACUACAUUUCCCAUUACGCAAAGGGGUUGCCACGGGUGGAGCCCCCCUUUCUGUGGUCUGUUGGAGAGAUUUGCAAGAAGCCCCUCUCUUCCCACUCUGACCUCUGGGGCUGCUCGCAAUUGAUUUAGUUACGGACUGCUUUGCUCUGAGUUUUGACUUGGGAUAUGUGGUCGGACCAUCAGUACCCUAGACAGUGUCACAUCUCAUCGUUAUCAUCAUCAUCACUAUCAUCAUCAAUUGGUCUGUGUAAUGAGAUGAGGAAUGAAGGAAGGAAAAGAGAGGUGGGAAGAGGCAGUGGAAUGGCAGCACCUCAUUCCAGACAAAUGGAUGGCAUUAUCACUUUCCCUGUCUGGCCUUAGAGAUGAGCCCCAUCCAUAUAUAAAGACGCCAGCUACCCCCCGAAGAUUUGGAGAGCAAGAGAAAGGACCCAAGGUUUCAAUCCCCACAGCACUGCCAGGUAUUUUAUUCAAUUAUUCGAAAAGAUAAUUCAAAAAGA